GGUGACUGAGAAUCCUGAGUUGUGAGGCAUGCGAACCGAGCAUGCGACUCCCAGACCGAGAAUGCAAGCCAGCCAGAGGCGACUGCGAGGCGAGUUGUCGAUCGAGUAAAACGUUGUAAUUGUGCCCUCAAGAGUUCGUUGAUUUUUUCGAAUAAUUCGGCUCGAUUUAUGGUGUGAUCAUCGCCGACCAGCUUCCCGAUCCAUCUAAAAAUGGGCUCGAGUUACAAACUGGACGAAGAUGCGUUCUCGCGCAGACUGAAACGCUUGUAUGACAUGUGGAAGGAGCCUGACGGGGAAUGCGAAGGUGGCUUCAAAAACAUGGACGCAUUAAUUGUUCCAGUCGGCAACAUCGAGAAAUUAUACUACAAAACAGCGGCGCUGCAACUCUGGCUCUUCGGUUUUUGACAUAUGGCGUGGGGUGUUAGUUUUUUCUGAAAAUGAGGUUCACUUUUUGGCAUCCAAAAAGAAACUGGAAGUCCUGAGUCAGAUAGAUGUUAUAGAAAGGGAGGAAGGGAUGCCUAC